rnacentral:tRNA from 1 species
GCCUCUGUAGCUCAGCGGUUAGAGCGCCUGUCUCGUAAACAGGAGGGCGGGAGUAGCCUUUUCUUUCUUGCGAAGAAAGAAAACCCUAGGGAAAAGAAAGAACCAGCAGGCUACCGAAUUCAAAUCUCCCCUGAGGCU